UACGUAGGGGGCGAGCGUUGUCCGGAUUUACUGGGCGUAAAGCGUACGUAGGCGGCUUGUUAAGCAAGAUGUGAAAUCCCCGGGCUCAACCUGGGAAUGGCAUUUUGAACUGGCAGGCUCGAGUUCUGAAGAGGGUGGUAGAAUUUCCAGUGUAGCGGUGAAAUGCGUAGAUAUUGGAAGGAAUACCGGUGGCGAAGGCGGCCACCUGGUCAGAAACUGACGCUGAGGUACGAAAGCGUGGGGAGCAAACAGG
rnacentral:rRNA from 1 species